UGUAUAUGAUGAAUUAAUUAUUCACCAUCUUUCGACUGAUCAUUGUGAUGGUAAAUUAUUUUACUGAGAGCCUUU